rnacentral:lncRNA from 1 species
UGAGUUUCCCCCCACCCUUGAGACACUUUCGUUUUGGAAAUGCGAGCAAUUGGAGUCAAUUCCAGGGAAGAUGUUGCAAAAUCUCACAUCUCUUCAUUUGCUCAACAUAUGUAAUUGUCCAGAGCUGGUAUCCUCCACGGAAGCAUUUUUGACCUCCAACCUUAAAUUACUUGCUAUUUCAGAAUGCCAGAAUAUGAAGAGACCUCUAUCUGAGUGGGGCCUUUACACACUCACCUCUCUUACACACUUCAUGAUCUGUGGUCCAUUUCCAGAUGUGAUUUCUUUUUCAGAUGAUGAGACUCAGCUUUUUCUUCCUACAUCUCUCCAGGAUCUUCAUAUAAUUAAUUUCCAGAACUUGAAAUCCAUAGCCUCCAUGGGACUCCAAAGCCUCGUCUCUCUGGAAACUCUUGUGUUGGAGAACUGUCCUAAGCUCGAGUCUGUUGUACCAAACGAAGGACUGCCACCCACGCUUGCAGGGCUUCAAAUCAAGGAUUGUCCUAUUCUAAAGCAGAGGUGCAUCAAAGACAAAGGAAAAGAUUGGCUCAAGAUUGCCCAGAUCCCCAAAGUUGUAAUAGAUGAAAUUACACAACAAUAAGGUAAGCCCGAUUCACAGCACUCACUCCUAGUAUCUGUUCACAGAAGUAUAAGCAUCGAUCAUAAGUUCCUCUUUAUAUUCAAUGAGGUACACUUAUUCAUGCUUUUCUCUUGAAAUUCAAUCAUUACUUUAUUCAUAGAAUUCUCCAAUGCACAUGUAGGUUGAAAAAACAGAAUAAGAUGCACAUGUGGAUAACUUUUCUCUUUUGCUUUGGCUUUUGAGAAGGUUUAUUUUUUGGAAAGAGUAGAUCAAAUUUGUUUGUAUUUCUUAAUUCAUCUUGCUAAUAUGUGAUGGUUACAUUGAUUGUGUUUCAGUUCAUCAACAUCUUCCAUUCAUGUCUGAAUUGAGUCUCAAUGCACCCCAUGGAAUGUUGCUAUUGAGCUACUUCAGAAUAAAGAUUUUCCAUGAAUAUGGAAAAGAGAGUGAUGCAGAACCAGUAUAUAAAAGUACUAUUGCUGAAGAAAGGGCUGCCUGCAACUUCUAAAACUAUCCAUGAGGAACUAUCCUAUCUGGAUACAGUGAUUCAAUGAGAAAUGGAAAGAUUGCCCUAUUUCCACAUUCCCUCUAUGCUGAUAGAUGGCUCACUUGUCCAUGAAGAAACUUCAGACUGGACAUCUUUUCACUAGAAGAUAAGAACAGAGACUAUCACAUCCCCCAUGCCAUUCUCAUUCAGGUAUGUUCAUUCAUAACAUGUUAUUCUUACUUUCUAUUAUCAAUACUGAUCUCAUUUUUCUUUUAAGUAAUUCAAUUUUGUGCCACAAAUGUAGGACUAAAAUGGGAAAAAGAUGCAAAUCAGAUACAAAAUGUCAUAACCAUAAAUGCAGCCAGCCAACUAGCAUGGGAGGUGUAGCUUACACCACCUACAGGGUACUUAACUCUGUAAAAGUUUCAUCUUUAACUGUUGGCUGUCCAGGUCUGUUGUCCUUUUCGUAUGAUAAUUGUUUGCCUUUUCCUAUGACCUCAACUUCUCUCCGCAACCAAAAACUCCCAAAUCUGGAUUUCAAGGCAAACUUUUGGCCUUGAAAUGUUUGAACGUAUGGGGAUGUUCAUCUCUCAAGCCCAUUCCAAUUAGUGAGUUUCCCUCCACCGUUGGCAUAUUUUUGAUUUGCAAAAUCUCACGUAUCUUCAUUUCCAGAUGUGAUUUGUUUUUCAGAUGAUAGUACUGAGCUUUUUCUUCCCACAUCUCUCAGCCAUCUUCGCAUAAUUGAUUUCCAAAACUUGAAAUCCAUAGCCUCUAUGGGACUCAAGAGCGUUGUCUCUCUGGAAACUCUUGUGUUGAAGGACUGCUCUAGGCUCGGGUCUGUUGCAACAAAGGAGAGCUGCCACCCACGCUUGAAGAGCUUCAAAUCAAGGAUUUUCCUAUUCUAAAGAAGAGGUGCCUCAAAGAAGAAGGAAAGGAUUGGCUCAUAAUUGCCUACGUCCCCAAUGUCCUAAUAGAUGAAAUUAUACAACAAUAAGGUAAGCCCCAUUCACAACACCCACUCCUCCUUUAUCUGCUCAGAUACCAGCUUCAAUUCUUCAAGGUAUUGUAAUUCCAGCUUCAAUUUUUUAUACAACUGCAAUUUUUUCAGAUUUUAUUACAUGAAGCAUAACUAUGAUGAUCAUUUUUCCAAUUUAUCCUACAUUAACCCAUUUUUUUUCAUGGAAGAUAGCCACCAUCUUAUGCCUUGCCAUAUGCGCAACAAUGUACUUGGGCACAAGUAGAUUUCAUCUUAACAAUUCUUUUCUGGUUAAAUACUUAUUGCAGAGCACAUGUCUUUAGAGAAUCUGAUUUUGUCACUUCUGUCUAUUUGCUCUCUUUUUUUUCUACUUGCACUUAAAAAAAAUUACAUUUACUGAUGAUUCAUUUCCCUAUUUUAAUUUUAAUAGUAAUGAUCGUUUUAAAAUCGUCUUCUUGACUUGUAAUAUAUUCUCCAAGAACUUGCAAGAUUAGGGCCUGGCACCAGGCUUGGCCUCUCACACUGCUGAAUUUCCUACACCUCCAGCAAAUGUGGAAGCCCCUUUUAAUUAUGGUAACCUGGAGAAAGCUGUCAACAAGGCAGCAUCAUCUAACAUUUCUGGAAGAUAUGAAAAUGUUGCUCUGCAUCAAGGACAAAAAUCGACACGCGUAAGACUUGAUAUCUUGCUCAUUGUCUUCCAAAAUAUUUGUGUUUCCUAGAUACAGGAUAGAUUGUUUCUACAAUAUGCCGCAUCCUUUUGUAAAAAUAGAUGACUGAAUCAUCUUUUAAAGAAUCCUGGUUUCUAUUUGCUAAAGUACAAGCAUUGAUCAUACUUUCCUCUUUGUGUUCAAUGAGGUACACAUGGAUACUUUUCUCCUGUAUUAUUCAUAGAAUUCUCCAUGUACCUGUUGGUUGAAAAAGCAAAGAAAGAUGCAAAUGUGGUAAUCCGAUGCAUGCUUUUCUUGUUUAUCAUUGUUUUUUAGAAAGGUUUAUUUAUUAGGAAAAGUAUGUUAAACAUGUUCUUAUCAUUCUUAAUUCAUCUUGCUGAUAUGUGAUGGUAAAAUUGAUUGUUUUUCAGUUCAUCAAGAUCUGUAUCCCUGUUCAUGUCUCAAUGCACCCAUUGGAAUGUUGCUAUUGUGCUAGUUCAGAAUAGGGAAAAGAUAGAAAUGCAAGACUGGUUCCAGUGCCAUGGAUCAAGAAAUGUGUCAAGUUUCAAUCCUUUUGCUGAAGAAAGGGCUCCUGAUAGUUCUAAAACUAUUCAUGAGGAACUGUCCUAUCUGGGAACACAGUGAUUAAAGGAGAAAUGGAAAGAUUGCUUGCCCCAUUUCUACAUUCCCUGUAUGCUGACAGGUGGCUCACUUGUCCACCAAGAAACUUCAGAAUGAAUUAUCUUUUCACUAGAAAACAAGAACAGAGACUACCGCAUCCCCGUGCUCUUUUCAAUCAGGUAUGUUCAUUUAUAACAUGUAAUUCUUACUUUAUAUUAUCAAUGCCAGUCUCGUUUUUCUUAUAUUAUUUCAAUUUUGUGCCUCAAAUGUAGCACUAAAAUGGGAAAAGAAGCACACCAAAUCCAAAAUUUCAAAAACCGUAAAUGCAGCCUACUAGCAUGGAGAGAGGUCACUUUAUUUUUAGGGUGUACCUGCAGGAAAAGGGGCUGAUGUAGAUAAAAGAAAAAUCCCUGGUCAUUGCUGCAGCUUAUCAGUAUCUGCAUGGGUAAAGUAUUCUGAGCAUGAAGUUUUCUCUUCAGUAAAAGGCGCUAUGCUAAAUUUUGGGGGUGGCACAUGAAUACAGUUUCCAAAAUCAGGUCUUAGAGAAGUUUUGAAAGCCCAAAUAAGUUCAUUUCAAAAUUUGAUUCUCUCUAAGAUUAUUGGAUUCAUGUCCAGGGAAGAUGUUGCAAAAUCUCACUUCUCUUCAUUUUCUGAACAUAUGUAAUUGUCCAGAAGUAGUGUCCUCACCAAAAGUGUUUUUGACCCCCAACCUUAAAUUCCUUGUGAUUUCAGAAUGCCAGAAUAUGAAGAGGCCUCCAUCAGAGUGGGGGGCCUUCUCACACCCACCUCUCUUACAGAAUUCAUCUCUCUGGAAACUCGUGUUGAAGGACUGCUCUAGGCUCGGGUCUGUUGCAACAAAGGAGAGCUGCCACCCACGCUUGCAGAGCUUCAAAUCAAGGAUUGUCCAAUUCUAAAGAUGAGGUGCCUCAAAGAAAAAGGAAAGGAUUGGCUCAAGAUUGCCUACAUCUCCAAUGUUCUAAUAGAUGAAAUUAUACAACAAUAAGGUAAGCCACAUUCACAACACUCACUCCUCCUUUAUCUGCUCAGAUACUAGCUUCAAUUCUUCAAGUAAUUGAAAUUUCAGCUUCAAAUUUUCAUUAACUACUAUUUUUUCAGAUUUUAUUUUAUGGAGAGAUAGCUAUGAUGAUCAGUUUUCCAAUUUAUCUUCCAUGGACUUUUAAAUCAUGGAAGAUAGCUACCAUCUUAUGCCUUGCCAUCUGUGCAACAAUGUAUAUGGGUACAAGUGGAUUUCUUGUUAACAAUUUUUUUUUUUAUGGUUAAAUAAUUAAAAUGAAAUUCUUUUGAUUUUAUUGAUCAUUCUUCCUGAUUAUUUUGCCCACAUAAAGGGAUUUGGGUUUCAUAUUGCACAGUACAUGUCUUGACUAAAUCUAGUGUUGGCACUUACUGGCACUUAAAAAUGGUUACAUUUAUCGAUCAUUCAUUUUCCUAUUUUAAUAUUAGUAGUAAUGAUCUUUUUACAAUCCAUCUUCUUGACGUGUGAUAUAUUCUUCAAGCACAUGCAAGAUUAGGCUCAGCACCAGGCUUGUCCUCUCACCCUUCUCAAUUUCCUACUCCAGCAAAUGUGACAGCAAAUGAGAAGCUGUCAACAAGUCUGCAUGGUCUCAGGGGAUUGGUUUAUCAUUGUUGCUCUGCAUCAAGGACCACAAUCGACACUUGCAAGACUUGAUAUCUUGCUCAUUCUCUUCCACAAUAUGUGUGCUUCCAAGAUAAAGGAUAGAUUGUUCGCAAAAGUACCAGCUUUGAUCGUACUUUCCUCUUCAUCUUCAAUGAGGUACACAUGCAUAUUUUUCUCUUAUAUUAUUCAUAGAAUUAUUCCAAUGUACAUUUUGGUGGAAAAAACAGAAAAAGAUGCAUAUGUGGGAAUCCAAUGCAUGCUCUUCUAAAUUUGUUCUUAUUAUUCUUAAUUCAUCUUGCUGAUAUGUGAUGGUUAAAUUGAUUGUGUUCCAGUUCAUCAAGAUCUGUAUCCCCAUUCAUGUCUCGAUCUCAGUCCACCAGUGGGAAUGUUGCUAUUUUGCCAGUUCAGAAUAAAUAUUUGCCAUGAAUAGGGAAAAAAUAGAAUUCCAAGACCGGUUAAAGUGCUAUGGAUCAACGGAGAGCUGCCUGCAAAUUCUGAAACUGUCUAUGAGGGACUAUCCUAUCUGUGGAAACUCAGUGAUUCAAGGAGAAAUAGAAGGAUUGCCCUAUUUCUACAUUCCCUGUAUGCUGAUAGAUAAUGUUUCAAUUUUUGGACUGAUUGGAACUCGUGCUUAAAUGGUGAAUGACUAUGUAAUCGACACUGUGAAUUGAAUGUCAUUGUUCAUUGCAUGUUUGGAUAUAAUGACUCUAGUUUGUUUCUUAGGAAAAUGUUAAAAUCUUACUGUUCCUUUCUCCCUUUGCAAUGGAUUUACGGACCUGUCUUUUCUGUUUCUUUUCCUUUUCCCAUUUUUUUCUCUUCUUUCUAUGCUGCAGCCUGCAUGCAAGGCCAACCAGUAAUCAUAUUGUCUUUGGUGGGGUGGGUGGCAAAAGUUGAUAUUAUGGUGUGUUUGAAUUUGUAGCUUGUUAGAAGUAGGAAAUAAUAGAAGUGUGCUCGACUCAAAUAUCAUCCGUUUAAUAAUGAGAUGAUCCGAUACAAUAUCAUGAUAUCAUGCAAUUAAUAAAUAAAUAAAGUGAAAUUAUGUAUAAAUUGAAUAAUACGAUUUUAUCCCAUUAAAUCAUUAAUAUGAUACGAUUCAUUUAACUUGUUAAAUAAACAAAUUAAGUUAUAUUAUAUAUGGACUGACACGAUAACAUGUUAAUAUCAUUGUAAUUCAUCAAGCUGUUAACAUGAUUUUGACUCAUUAACAUUAUUCUAAGCCAUUAAAUUUGUUUACAUGAUUAUAAUCAAUUUAAUCAGUUUAAAAUUUUAAAAUAUUUUUCAAUUGCUUUAAUUUUUAAGAUUAUUUUUAAAAAUUUUAAUGAACUUAAUUAUUUAAUAUCAAUUAUAAUACAUUUAUAAUAUAAUUUUUUUUUAUGAUUUUAUAUAUGUUUUAAUUAUAAAAUAUUUUUAAUCUUUAUAUAUAUAGAUAUAUAUUGCUUAGUUGAUAAUUUAAUUUUUUAAAAGUAUAUGAUUAAUAAAUUUAUAUAGGUUAAAAGUGUCAAUUUGGCACAAUGAACUGGUUGAACAAUCAAAUAUAAAUACGACUUAUUUAUUAAACAAGUUAUACUUUUUGACAUGGUUAUGAUAAAAACAAGUCCUAAAGUUCCCGUUAUUUUCAAAUCAUGCUAUUGUGGCGUGUCCAAAUUAUCCCUUUUUUAAUUAUUUUUAUUUUUAAAACUAGUUCAUGCAUGUUGUUCAUAUAAGUCACCAAUUAUUAGAUUUAUUCUUGCCGUGAGAGGUAUCUUUCAUUCAACCACACUUAUAGUAAAUCAAAUUUAUUUAAAUACAAUGGAAGGGACUAUAACGAAAAAUUAACAAAAAAAUAAAAUAAAAGAUGGUUAGAUGAUGUCUUGGAAGUAUUUCCCUUCCUCUAAACACAAGAAAUCAUUGUUCUAAAAUCUAAUCUUCAGGUCUCAGCAGAUACAUGCAUCAAUAAUCUUUUACAAGUAGACCCACCACCAUCAAUUAUUUUUCCUUUUUCUCACACUACUCCAGUAAUGUUACCUAAAGUUUGCCAGCUGCCCCAUGCAUGACCCCGUUGUCACUUUUCCCCUUGUUUUAAUCGGUUAUCCCUAUCAUAUUUUUCUUUGGCAGCUGCUCAAGUCUUCACUUGUUUCCAUCUCGCUAAUCUCUACUGCCCUGCCCUUUGCUUUCUUGAUACAAACAAUGGAGGUUGUUGGACAGGCUAUUCUUUCGUCUGCCCUUGAAUUGUUGUUUGAUAAGCUGGGAUCCUCCGAGUUGCUCAAGUUUGCUCGCCAAAAGAAUGUCAUUGGUGAACUUGACAACUGGAGGGACGAACUGUUGAUUAUUGAUGAGGUGCUGGACGAUGCGGAAGAGAAGCAGAUUACAAGAAAGUCCGUGAAAAAAUGGCUGAAUGAUCUCAGAGACUUGGCUUGCGAUAUGGAGGACGUACUGGACGAGUUCACCACGGAGCUGUUGCGGCGCAGGUUGAUGGCGGAACGUCUUCAGGCGGCUAACACAAGUAAGGUACGGAGCCUCAUCCCAACUUGCUUUACUGGUUUCAAUCCUCGGGGUGAUGCUCGGUUUAGUGUUGAGAUGGGGUCCAAGAUUAAGGAAAUCAGUAGACGGUUGGACAAUAUUUCAACUCGGCAAGCUAAACUGGGUUUGAAAAUGGAUCUUGGGGUUGGGCACGGCUGGGAAAGGUUUGCAUCUGGAAGAAGAGCUUCUACUUGGGAACGGCCGCCCACGACAUCUUUGAUUAAUGAAGCUGUUCAAGGUAGGGAUAAAGAAAGAAAGGAUAUUGUUGAUUUGCUGUUGAAGGAUGAAGCAGGGGAAAGCAACUUCGGUGUACUUCCCAUUGUUGGCCUUGGAGGGACCGGCAAGACUACGCUUGCCCAGCUCGUAUGCAAGGAUGAAGGCAUAAUGAAGCAUUUUGACCCCAUAGCCUGGGUUUGCAUAUCAGAAGAAAGUGAUGUGGUGAAAAUAUCAGAAGCAAUUCUCCGUGCACUCUCUCAUAAUCAGAGUACAGAUCUCAACGACUUCAAUAAAGUUCAACAGACAUUGGGAGACAUGUUGACUCGAAAGAAGUUUUUACUGGUUUUAGAUGACGUGUGGAACAUAAACCACGAUGAGCAAUGGAAUACUCUGCAGACGCCAUUUAAAUAUGGAGAAAAAGGGAGUAAGAUCAUAAUAACAACGCGUGAUGCGAAUGUCGCAAGAACGAUGAGAGCAUAUGAUUCACGCUACACUCUGCAGCCUUUGUCUGAUGAUGAUUGUUGGUCUUUGUUUGUGAAGCAUGCUUGUGAAACUGAAAAUAUCCAUGUACGCCAAAAUUUGGUACUUCGUGAAAAAGUUACAAAAUGGUGCGGUGGUUUGCCCUUAGCAGCAAAGGUGCUUGGUGGCCUUUUACGCUCUAAACUACAUGAUCACUCAUGGGAAGAUCUAUUGAAGAAUGAAAUUUGGAGAUUACCAAGUGAGAAGCGUGACAUUCUCCGAGUGUUAAGAUUAAGUUACCAUCAUUUGCCUUCUCAUUUAAAGAGAUGUUUUUCUUAUUGUGCAUUAUUUCCCAAGGAUUAUGAAUUUGAGAAGAAAGAACUAGUCUUGUUAUGGAUGGCCGAAGGUUUCAUUCACCAAUCAAAAGGAGAUGAGCUUCAAAUGGAAGAUUUAGGUGCUAAUUAUUUUGAUGAAAUGUUAUCAAGGUCAUUUUUUCAGCAAUCAAGUAAUAACAAGUCAAACUUUGUUAUGCAUGACCUAAUUCAUGAUCUAGCUAAAGAUAUUGCCCAAGAAAUUUGUUUUAAUUUGAAUAAUGAUAAGACAAAGAAUGACAAGUUACAGAUAAUUUUUGAAAGGACUCGUCAUGCAUCAUUCAUUCGCAGUGAGAAAGAUGUGCUCAAAAGAUUUGAAAUAUUCAAUAGAAUGAAGCAUUUACGAACACUUGUGGCAUUAUCAGUCAAUAUAAAUGAUCAGAAAUUCUACUUAACUACUAAGAUUUUCCAUGACUUGUUGCAAAAGUUGAGACAUUUGAGGGUGCUCUCCUUGAGUGGUUAUGAGAUAACUGAGUUACCAUAUUGGAUUGGUGAUUUAAAACUUUUGCGAUAUCUUAACUUGUCUCAUACUGCUGUCAAAUGUUUGCCUGAAUCAGUGAGUUGUCUCUACAAUCUACAAGUGUUGAUGUUAUGCAAUUGUAUAAAUCUUAUUAAGUUGCCUAUGAACAUUGGGAAUCUGAUUAACCUUCGGCAUCUUAAUAUCAACGGCUCAAUUCAACUAAAAGAGAUGCCUUCACGAGUGGGUGACUUGAUAAAUUUGCAAACGUUAUCCAAGUUUAUUGUGGGCAAACGUAAAAGAUCAGGAAUAAAUGAAUUGAAGAACUUGUUGAAUCUUAGAGGAGAGCUCUUUAUCUCGGGGUUGCACAAUAUUGUGAAUAUAAGGGAUGUAAAGGAAGUCAACUUAAAAGGGAGGCAUAACAUUGAAGAGCUAACAAUGGAAUGGAGCAGCGAUUUUGAAGAUUCAAGAAAUGAAAGAAAUGAAUUGGAAGUCUUCAAGUUACUACAACCUCAUGAAAGUUUGAAAAAGCUUGUUGUUGCGUGUUAUGGUGGACUAACCUUCCCAAAUUGGUUAGGAGAUCAUUCAUUCACAAAAAUGGAGCACCUGAGUCUCAAAAGUUGCAAAAAACUCGCACGAUUGCCACCGCUUGGCAGACUACCUUUACUCAAGGAGUUGCACAUUGAAGGGAUGAAUGAAAUUACAUGUAUAGGUGAUGAGUUCUAUGGGGAGAUUGUGAACCCUUUUCCAUCUUUGGAGUCUUUGGAGUUUGAUAAUAUGCCAAAAUGGAAAGAUUGGAUGGAAAAGGAAGCAUUAUUUCCUUGCCUCCGAGAGCUGACAGUAAAAAAAUGCCCAGAACUGAUUGACUUGCCGAGUCAGUUGCUUUCCUUCGUGAAGAAGCUUCACGUUGAUGAAUGCCAAAAAUUGAAAGUGUAUGAAUACAACAGGGGGUGGUUAGAAAGUUGUGUCGUUAAUGUGCCUUCACUCACCUGGUUAUACAUUGGGGGGAUUUCAAGGCUAAGUUGUUUAUGGGAAGCGUUUUCUCAACCCUUACCAGCUCUUAAAGCUUUGGAUAUUAAUCGAUGUGAUGAGCUGGCAUGUUUGGAACUGGAAAGCCUUGGUAGUCUUCGAAAUUUAGCGAUCAAAAGCUGUGAUGGAGUUGAAUCCUUGGAAGGGCAAAGACUGCCUCGCUAUCUUCAAUGUUUGAAUGUGGAAGGGUGUUCCAGCCUAAAGAAGCUGCCAAAUGCAUUAGGAAGCCUCAUAUUUCUUACAGUUUUGAGAAUUGCGAAUUGCUCGAAACUUGUGUCAUUCCCAGAUGCUAGUUUCCCACCAAUGGUAAGAGCUCUUAGGGUGACAAAUUGUGAGGAUCUCAAGUCACUGCCCCAUAGAAUGAUGAAUGAUAGCUGUACCCUUGAGUACUUGGAGAUUAAAGGUUGCCCAUCUCUCAUUGGCUUUCCAAAAGGCAAGCUCCCCUUUACCCUUAAGCAGCUGCGCAUUCAAGAAUGUGAAAAACUAGAGUCUCUACCCGAGGGAAUAAUGCAGCAACCUUCAAUUGGCAGCAGCAACACUGGUGGCCUUAAAGUAUUGUUUAUAUGGGGAUGUUCAUCUCUCAAGUCCAUUCCAAGAGGUGAGUUUCCCUCCACCCUUGAGACACUUUCGUUUUGGAAAUGCGAGCGAUUGGAGUCAAUUCCAGGGAAGAUGUUGCAAAAUCUCACAUCCCUUCGUUUGCUCAACAUAUGUAAUUGUCCAGAGCUGGUAUCCUCGACGGAAGCAUUUUUGAACUCCAACCUUAAAUUCCUUGCUAUUUCAGAAUGCCAGAAUAUGAAGAGGCCACUAUCUGAGUGGGGCCUUUACACACUCACCUCUCUUACACACUUCAUGAUUUGUGGCCCAUUUCCAGAUGUGAUUUCUUUUUCAGAUGAUGAGACUCUGCUUUUUCUUCCUACAUCUCUCCAAGAUCUUCAGAUAAUUAAUUUCCAGAACUUGAAAUCCAUAGCCUCCAUGGGACUCCAAAGCCUCGUCUCUCUGGAAACUCUUGUGUUGGAGAGCUGCCCGAAGCUUGGGUCUGUUGUACCAAACGAAGGACUGCCACCUACCCUUGCAGGGCUUCAAAUCAAGGAUUGUCCUAUUCUAAAGAAGAGGUUCAUGAAAGACAAAGGAAAAGAUUGGCACAAGAUUGCCCACAUUCCCAAAGUCGUAAUAGAUGAAAUUAUACAACAAUAAGGUAAGCCCGAUUCACAAUACUAACUCCUUUAUCCGCUCAGUUACUAGGUUUAAUUCUUCCCGUAAUUGUAAUUCCCGCUUCAAUCUUUCAUAUAACUGCAAUUUUUUCGAAUGUUGAUAUCAGUGCUUGAGGGGUGGGUGUUUUGGCAGAUUGCUAUCAUCUUAUGCCUUGCAAUCUGUGCAACAAUGUAUAUGGAUACCACUAGAUUUCAUCUUCAUAAUUUUUUCUGGUUAUACUUAGGAUAAAAUGCUUUUGAUUUUAUUUAUGGCACUUCUACAUUUGUAACAUGAUGAUUCUUUCUCAUUAUUUUUCUGACAUAAUGGAAUUUGGGUUACCUAUUGCAGAGUCCAUGUUUUGACUGGAUCUGGUGUUGGGCCUUCUUUCUAUUUUCUCUCAAAAAAAUCGUCUUAGUGGAAAUAAGAUGAAAGAUAACCUAGCAAAAGCAUGGUAUGUUCCUUCCCUUUUUUAUUUUGUUUUCUAUUUGUACCUUUCUUGAUGAUUCAUUUUCCUAUUUUAAUUUCAAUAGAAAUGAUAUUUUUAAAAUCUGUCUUCUUGACUUGUGAUAUAUCCUUCAGGCUUGUCCUCUCACACUGCUCAAUCCCCUACACUUCCAGCCAAGGUGGAAGCCUCCUUCAAUUAUGGUAACCAGGAGAAGCUGUUAGCAAGGCUGCAUGGCCUCACAUCUCUGGGAGAUAUGUCAAUGUUUCCUCUCAAGGGGCAGGUUUAUCAUCCCUGAUAUACUUUGAGGACUGAAAUCGACACUUGCAGGACUUGAAAUCUUGGUCAUUCUCUUCUGAAACAUUUGUGCUUCCAACAUAAAGGAUAGAUUUGUUCCUGCAAUAUUCAGCAUCCUUCUGUAGAAAUCGAUGACUGAAUAAUCUAUUAAAGAAUCCUAGUUUCUGUUCACAGAAGUAUACACAUUGAUCAUACUUUCCUCCUCAUAUUCAAUGAGAUAUACUUAUUCACACUUUUCUCUUGAAAUUUAAUGUUGCUUUAUUCAUGAGAUUCUCCAGUGCACAUGUAGGUUGACAAAACAGAAAAAGAUGCAUGUGCGGAAACCAGUGCAUGCUUUUCUCUUUUGUCUUAGCUUUUGAGAAAGGCUUAUUUUAUGGAAAGAGUAGAUCAGAUUUGUUCUUAUUUUUCUCAAUUCAUCUUGCUAAUAUGUGAUGGUUAAAUUGAUUGUGUUUCAGUUCAUCAAUAUUUGUGUCCCCAUUCAUGUCUCGAUCUCAAUGCACCCAUUGGAAUGUUGCUGUUGUGCUACUUCAGAAUAGGGAAAACAUAGAAAUGCAAGACCGGUAAAUGUACUAUGGAGCAAGAAAUGUGUCGAGUUUCAGUCCUGUUGCUGAAGAAAGGGCUGCCCACAACUUCUAAAACCAUCCAUGGGGAACUAUCCUAUCUGGAAAUACAGUGAUUCAAUGAGAAAUUGGAAAGACUGCCCUAUUUCCUCAUUCCCUGUAUGCUGAUAGAUGGCUCACAUUCAUGAAGAAACUUCAGACUGGACUAUCUUUUCACAUCCAUAAGAACAGAGACUAUGACAUCCCAUGCUAUUUUCAAUCAGGUAUAUUCAUUCAUAACAUCUAAUUCUUACUUUAUAUUAUCAAUAUCAGUCUCAUUUUUCUUAUAUAAAUUCAAUAUUGUGCAAACCAAAUCCAUAAAUGCAGCCUACUAGCUUGGGGAGCAGCUCACUUAAUUUUUAGUUUGGACUUUGACUGGGAGGUGUGGCUUACACCACUUACACAGUACUCAACUCUGUAAAAGUUUCAUCAUUAACUGUUGCAUGUUCAGAUCCGCUGUCCUUUUCAUAUGAUAAUGUUUGCCUCUUCUUAUGACUCCAACUUCUCUUUGCAUCCAAAAACUCCCAAAUCAGGAUUCCAGGUCCACAAGGCAUCACCUCUCAUGAAUAUGCACUUAACUUUGUUUUUAUCGUAGUGCUCAAAGGCACUGCAUGUUCUUGUUCCCAUCUUCAGAACCAAAGGCACUUAAUAGUCAAUUGAACUCUUGAGUUCUGACAGGUUUCACUAUAUUCCGUCAGAUUCAUUAGCACAACAUCUGUUUUCAAUAUUUGAUAAUGAAGGAAUUUAGGUUGUACCUGCAGGAAAAGGGAGUGAUGUAUAUAAAAGCAAAAUUCCUGGUCAUUGCUGCAGCUUAUCAGUAUCUGCAUGGGUAAAGUAUCCUAAACAUGAAAUUUUCUCUUCAGUAAAAGCAGCUAUGCCAGAUGCACCAAUUCAUAAAAUUUCGGGGGUUGCACAUGAUUACAGUUUCCAAAAUCAGGUCUUAGAGAGGUUUUAGAAGGCCUAUUAAGUUCAUUUCAAAAUUUGAGUCUCUCUAAGAUUAGCGUCUGCUUCAUAUCAAACUAAUUUUCAUAUCCAAAAGGAUCCAAUGCAUAAUGCUGUUUCAACAUUUUUGUCUAACUACAUCACAUUAUACAAGAUAACAGGGCUUGAAAGAGUCCCAAAACUGCACUCUCUUGAAAGCUAUGGAUGGAUGGCUGGCCUAAGCUUUGAUCAUCUUUGCUAGGGGAAUAAAAGGCAUUAUUUCCUUGCCUCGGAAAGCUUACAAUAAAAAAAUGUCCAGAACUGAUUAACUUGCUGAGUCAGUUGCUUUCCUUUGUGAAGAAGCUUCAUAUUGAUGAAUGCCAAAAAUUGGAAGUGAAUAAAUACAACAGGGGCUUGUUAGAAAGUUGUGUUGUUAAUGUGCCUUCACUCACCUGGUUAUACACUGGGGGUGGUUUCGAGGCCAAGUUGUUUAUGGGAAGGGUUUGUUUAAUCCUUAACAGCUCUUUAAACAUUGAAAAUAAAUCAAUGUGAUGAGCUGUCAGAAGUUGUGAUGGAGUUGUAUCCUUCUCCAAAGUAGGUGUAGGUUAAAAAUACAGAAGAGGGUGCACCUGUGGGAAACCAAUGCCUGCCUUUCUCUUUUGUCUAAGCUUUUGACUUGGGUUUAUUUUUGGAAAGCAUAUAUCUUAUUAUUCUUAAUUCAUCUUGCAAAUAUGUGAUGGUUAAAUUGAUUGUGUUUUAGUUUAUCACUAUCUGUAUCCCCAUUCAUGUCUCCAUGCACCCGCUGGAAUGCUGCUAUUGUGCUAGUUCAGAGUAAAGAUUUGCCCUGAAUAGGGAAAAGACAGAAUUGCAAGACCCGUUGAAGUCCUAUGGAUCAAGAAAUGUGUCAAGUUUCAGUUCUUUUUCUGAAGAAAGGGCUGCCUGCAAUUCUUAAACUAUCCAUGAGGAACUGUCCUAUCUGGAGAUACAGUGAUUCAAGAAGAAAUGAAAAAAUUGCCCCAUUUCCACAUUUCCAGUAUGCCAAGGAUAGCUCACUUGUCCAUGAAGAAACUUCAGACUGAAUUAUCUUUUCACUGAGAAAAAAGAACAGAGGCCACCAUAUCCCAUGCUAUUUUCAAUCAGGUGUGUUCAUUCAUAACAUGGAAUUCUUACUUUAUAUUACCAAUGCCAGUCUCCAUUUUCUUAUAUUAAUUCAAUUUUGUGCCACAAUUUAGAACUAAAAUGGGAAAAAGAUUCAAACCAAAUUUAAAAUUUCAUUACCAUAAAUGCAGCCUACUAGCAUGGGGAGCAGGGCAUUGGAAUUUGACUGGGAGGUGUAGCUUACACCACUAACAAUGGGAGCAGAGCAUUACAACUUAUGGAGUACUCAACUCUCUAAAAGUUUCAUCAUUAACUGUUGGGUGUCCAGGUCUGUUUUCCUUUUCAUAUGAUAGUCAAUGUUUGCCUCUUCCUAUGGCUCGAACUUCUCUUUGCGUCCAAAAGAACUUCCGAAUCAGGAUUCCAUGUCCUCCAGGUCUACAAAACAACACUUCUCUUGAAUAUGCACUUAACUUCGUUCUGAUAUAAUUUCAGUGGAUUCCAUCAGAUCCUAUAGCUCAAAAUAUGUUUUCAAUUUUUUAUAAUCAUUGUAUUCAGAUUGUACCUGCAGGAAAAAAGGACUGAUGUAGACAAAAAGCCAAGUUCCUGGUCGUUGCUGAAUCUUAUCAGUAUCUGCCUUGGUAGAGUAUCCCAAACAUGAAAUUCUCUUCUGAAAAAGGAGCUAUGCUAGAUGCAGCAUUUUACAAAAUUUUGGGGGUCACACAUGAUUGAUUACAGUUUUCGAAAUCACGUCUUUGAGCAGUUUUGAAAAGCCAUAUUAAGUUCAUGUUAAAACUUGAUUCUCUCUAAGAUUAGUGUCUGCUUCAUGUGACUCUAAUUUUCAAAUUCAAAAGGAUCCAAUGCUUAGUUCUGUUUCAACCUUUUGGGUAAUUACAUCACAUUGUACAAGAUAACAGGUUUAGAGAGUUCAAGGGAUAUCCCAAAACUGCACCUCUAUUAAAGCCAAGGACGGAUGGCUGGCCUAGGCUUUGAUCAUCUUUGCUGGAGGAAUAAAAGAAGAUUCCUGUUUUUAAGUGACAUAAAAGGUGCAAAUUCUUUUAUGAUAACGUGCCAGUAGCAACAAUUUUCUCAAUGUUUGCCUCUUCCUAUGACUCCAACUUCUCUGUGUCCAAAAAAACUCCCAAAUUAGGAUUCCAUGUCCUCCAGGUCUACAAAGCAACAUUUCUCUUCAAUAUGCACUUAAACUUGUUCUUAUCUUAUUGCUCAAAGGAACCGCCUGUUCUUGUUCCCACCUUCAGAAACAAAGGCACUUAUUAGUCAAUUGAACUCUUUUCUGAUAGAAUUUUACUGUAUUCCGUCCAAUCCAUUACCAUAAAUCUGUUUUCAAUUUUUGAUAAUGAGGGAUUUAUGUUGUACCUGCAGCUUUUGGCUAAUUACAUCACAUUGUACAAGAUAACAGUCUCCCGAAAAACUACAAAUCUCUUCAAAGCUAUGGAUGGAUGGCUGGACUAAGCUUCGAUCAUCUUUCUAGAGGAAUAAAAGAAGAUUCUUGUUUUCUCUUAAGAGACAUAAAAGCUGCAAUUUUUUUUUAUGAUAACGAGGUGGUAGCAACAAUUUUCUCAACUGAUUCUGAAGUCAUAGUUAUAUACAAGGUUUUACACAUUCUGGUUUAGUUUCAUUUAAUUUUGAUUAGAUUUAGAGGGGAAAGUUACAAACUUUCUAUUUGAAAUUAUGUUUGAACUUCAAUAAUAUUGGAUCAUUCUCUUAUUUUGAGGCAUUUUCCAAGAUGUUUUAUGGUAAAUUAUGGCCGUAAGCUACAAGGAAUAUGAUUGGCUUUUCUGGGGCUCCAGCAUCUGAUUUGAAAACCAUCUGUCUGCCCUUUUCUUUUUUUUUUCUUUUUUUGCUUUUUUCAUAAUUUUUUUUCUGCAGACAGAUUAAUAUCAUAAUCUUUCUUUUUUUCUUGAUGAAUCUAAUGCAGUUAUAAUUGUUUUCUGAUUCCAAGUUAGUGCAUUUAGUAUGAAACUUGCCUCAAGUUAUUCAAUGAAUUCCCUGUUUAAAAAUUUGUUGUUUUUAAUUUGUCUAUACUUAAAUCCACAUUCACCAAUUUCUAUUCCCAUUUUCUCAGUUAGAUAUUGAUUGAAAGACCAUCAAACUUAGCUGGAGUAGAUUUAUUUAUUGGAGUCAAAGAAACGGUAUGUUCUCUUAGUUUUGCAGAAUUUUAUUAAUCUAUGUUUUAUUUUAGUUACCACAAUUGUUAGUGAUUCUUAGUUAUUCCAAGCAUUAAUUCUCAAGAACUUUCCUUUUUAUUUAGUAAUCAUCUACUGCUGCAUUUGCAGACUUGGGUAUAUAAACAAAUAGGAUCUGUCCUUUUUUUCAUAAUCAGAAUUAGUGCUCCAAUUUAGUCCUUUCCCUUUUUUUUGUUUUGGUUUUUGAGAUGAUGAAACAAUUUUUGUUGUUGACAGCAGCAAGUGGCUAUGAAAUAUUGAAUGAAUGGGGAUGUUCGUCUCUCAAGUCCAUCCAAUUGGUGAGUUUCCCUCCACCUUCUAGAGAAGUUAUAAUAUUCAUAAUUACAACCUUAAAUUCCCUCCACCUACUUAGUUACUAGUUUAUCUUCAAGGAAUCCUUAACCAGAUUCAGAAACAUGUUAAACACAAUUCACCACUUAUAUUAUUGACCCCAUAACAAGUAGGAACUAUCACUUCCAUUUAUAAGGCUUCUUUUCUUAACCUACCCAAGAUCAAUUUACUUAGAAAUUUAUUCUAAAGAUAAGUGAGCUAUUAUGUGUUAGAACAAAGGAUGGUUUUUGUACAAUCACUAGGUUUUCUUGUUCAAAAGGUGACUUUUAACACACUCCACACAGUUAGGGUUUCAACAACUAGGGUUUGGUUCAGUGUUCACUCAUUCCAAAAUUUGCCUCAACCUUGAAAUUGCCCUCAAGAUAUUAUUAUUAUGAAAUUUAGAGUCAAAAGAUAUCAAAGAUGAUACCCGGUUGUUCAAGUGCAUAGUUUUUACAUUUUUAGAUUAAAAGACAAAUGAGGUUUUAAGAUCUUAACAUAGAAUGAUUACACAGGGCGGGAGGAUUAAUCAUUAUAAGGUUGUAUGAUCAAUCAUCCUACACCAGAAUGUGAUAUGAAUUACUGAAAGAUCUGAUUCUUAAUUAUUAAUACCAAUCCAUCAUUUCUAUGUUCAUUUGCAUAUGUGCUUCCAUUUUUAAUUUUGAAAUACCGACAUUUGUUUAUUCAUAUGAAUGAAAAUUUAUAUACAAGAAGUAGUAAUUAAUAUACAACACAGUUUGAGUCUGACUUCUCAAAUCACGUAUAUCAUAGCGGUCAGCCUAUACAUGAAAGUGUUUCAUCUCUGAAGUCAUCUCCAGGGACAAUGUUGCAAAAUCUCACACCUCUUCCUUUUCUGAACAUACGUAACUGUCCAAAAGUAGUGUCCUCACUGGAAGUGUUUUUGACCCCCAACUUUAAAUUCCUUGUGAUUUCAGAAUGCCAAAAUACCAAGAGGCCUCCAUCAGAGUGGACAGAUUUUUCUUCCACAUCUCUCAACUAUCUUCACGUACAUAAUUCAUUUCCAGAACUCGAAAUCCGUAGCCUCCAUGGGAUUCAAAAGCCUAGUCUCUCUGGAAACUCUUUUGUUGGAGGACUGCCUUAGGCUUAGGUCUGUUGUAACAAAGGGAGGGCUGCCACUCAUGCUUGCAGAGCUUCAAAUCAAGGAUUGUUCUAUUCUAAAAGGGCAGUGUCUCAAAAACAGGAAAAGAUUGGCUCAAGAUUGCCUACAUCGCCAAUGUCCUAAUACAUGAAAGUAUACAACAAUAAGGUAAGCCCCAUUCACGACACUCACUCCUUUAUCUUCUUAGAUACCUGCUUCAAUUCUUCAAGUAAAUGUAAUUCAAGCUUCAAAUUUUCAUGUAACUGCAAUUUUUUACAUUUUUAUCAUAUGUAAAAUAGCAAUGACGAUCAUAUUUUCCAAUUUAUCCUACAUUAACUUUUUAAUCAUAGAAGAUAGCUACCAUCUUAUGCCUUGUCAUCUGUGCAACAAUGUGUAUGAGUACAGGUAGAUUUCAUCUAACCAAUAUUUUUCUCUGGUUAAAUACUUACAAUGAAAUUCUUUUGAUGUUAUUUACCACACUUUGGUAAAGGGAUUUGGGUUUCAAAUUGCAGAGUUCAUGUCUUGACUGAAACUGGUGCUGGCACGUAAAAAAAUUCACAUUUAUUGAUAAUUUUUUUUCCCUUAUUUAAUAUUAGUAGUAAUGAUCUUUUUACAAUCCAUUUUCAUGACGUGUGAUAUAUACUUUAGGCUUGUCCUCUCACACUUCUCAAUUUCCUACUCCUUCAGAAAAUGUGAAAGCCUUUUAAUCAUGAUCACCUGGAGAAGCUGUCAACAAGUCUGCAUGGUAUCACAUCUCUGGGAGAUAAGAGAAUGUUGUUGUGCUAAAAGAUUGUUUCCUCUCAGGGGACUGAUUUAUCAUCAUUGCUCUGCAUCAAGGACCAAAAUCGACACUUACAAAACUUGAUAUUUUGCUCAUUGUCUUCUGAAAUAUGGGUGCUUCCAAGAAAAAGGAUGGAUUGUUCCUGCAAUUUUCCACCCAUAUAUUGAUUGUUCACAGAAGUACAAGCAUCGAUCAUACUUCCCUCUUUAUAUUCAAUGAGGUACACAUGCAUGCUUUUAUCUUGUAUCAUACAGAGAAUUCUUCGAUGUACAUGUUGGUUGAAAAAAUAGAGAAAGGUGCAUAUGUAGGAAUCCAAUGCCUGCUUUUCUCUUUUGUCAUAGUUUUUGAGAAAGGUUUAUUUAUUGGGAAAAGUGUAUUAAAUUUGUUCUUGUUAUUCUUAAUCCAUCUUGCUAAUAUGUGAUGCUUAAAUUGAUUGUGUUCCAGUUCAGAAUCAAGAUUUGCCAUGAAUAGGGAAAAGAUAGAAUUGCAAGACUGCUUAAAGUGCUAUGGAAAAGGAUAUGUGCCAAAUUUCAGUCCUUUUGCUUAAGGAAGAGUUUCUUGCAAAGAAACGGUGAGUUCUCUUAGUUUUGCAGUAUUUUAUUAAUCUAUGUUUUAUUUUAGUUACCAUAAUUGUUAGUAAUUCUUAGUUAUUCCAAGCAUUAAUUCUCAAGAACUUUCCUUUUUAUUUAGUAAUUACCUACUGCUGCAUUUGCAGACUUGGGUAUAUAAACAAAUAGGAUCCAUCCUUUAUUUCAUAAUCAGAAUUAGUGCUCCAAUUUAGUCCUUUCCCUCUUUUUUGUUUCGGUUUUUGAGAUGAUGAAACAAUUUUUGGUGUUAACAGCAGCAACACUUGUGGCCAUGAAAUAUUGAACGAAUGGGGAUGUUCAUCUCCUCAAGUCCAUCUAUUAGUGAGUUUCCCUCCACCCUUGAGAGAAGUUAUAAUAUUCAUAAUUACAACCUUAGAUUCCGUCAUAAAUUGUGUAGUCAAUUUUCCUACUCAGUUACUAGUUUAUCUUCAAGGAAUCCUUAACUAGAUUCAGAAACACGUUACACACAAAUUCACCACUUCUUAUGUUAUUGGCCCUGUAACAGUUUGGAACUAUCACUUCCAUUUAUAAGGCUUCUUUUCUUAACCUACCCAAGAUCAAUUUACUUAGAAAUUUAUUCUAAAGAUAAGCAAGCUAUUAUGUGUUAGAACAAAGGAUGGUUUUUGUACAAUCACUAGGUUUACUUGUUCAAAAGGUGAGGUUUAACUCACUCCACAGUUAGGGUUUCAACAACUAGGGUUUGGGUCCAGUGUUCACUCACUUAUUCCAAAAUUCGCCUCAACCUUGAAAUUGUCCUCAAAAUAUUAUUAUUAUGAAAUUUAGAGUCAAAAGACAUCAAAGGUAAUACCCGGUUGUUCAAGAUGCAUAGUUUUGACAUUUUUAGAUUAAAAGACAAAUGAGGUUUUAAGAUCUUAACAUAGAAUGAUUACAUAGGGCGGGAGGAUUAAUCAUUCUAAGGUUGUAUGAUCAAUCAUUCUACACCAGAAUGUGAUAUGAAUUACUGAAAGAUCUGAUUCUUAAUUAUUAAUACCGAUCCAUCAUUUCUAUGUUCAUUUGCAUAUGUGCUUCCAUUGUUAAUUUUGAAAUACCAAUAUUUGUAUAUUCAUAUGAAAGAUCUGAUUUUUUUUUUUCCUAUUUUAAUAUUAGUAGUAAUGAUCUUUGUACUUCAGGCUUGUCCUCUCACACUUCUCAAUUUCCUACUCCUUCAGCAAAUGUGAAAGCCUUUUAAUCAUCCUCUCCUGGAGAAGCUGUCAACAAGUCUGCAUGGUAUCACAUCUCUGGGAGAUAAGAGAAUGUCGUUGUGCUAAAAGAUUGUUUCCUCUCAGGGGACUGAUUUAUCAUCAUUGCUCUGCAUCAAGGACCAAAAUCGACACUUGCAAAACUUGAUAAUUUGCUCAUUCUCUUCCGAAAUAUGUGUGGUUCCAAGAUAAAGGAUAGAUUGUUCCUGCGUUUUUCCACACUUCUAUAGAUUGUUUCAAUGAGGUACACAUGCAUGCUUUUCUCUUGUAUUAUUCAUAGAAUUCUCCAAUGUACAUGUUGGUUGAAAAAACAGAGAAAGGUGCAUAUGUAGGAAUCCAAUGCCCGCUUUUCUCGUUUGUCAUAGUUUUUGAGAAAGGUUUUAUUUAUUGGGAAAAGUAUAUUAAAUUUGUUCUUAUUAUUCUUAAUUCAUCUUGCUAAUAUGUGAUGCUUAAAUUGAUUGUGUUCCAGUUCAGAAUAAAGGUUUGCCAUGAAGGGAAAAGAUAGAAAUGCAAGACCAGUUGAAGUGCUAUGGAUCAAGAAAUGUGUCAAGUUUCAGUCCUUUUGCUGAAGCAAGGGUUGCUUGCAACUUCUAAAACUAUCCAUGAGGAACUAUCAUAUCUGGAAACAUAGUGAUUCAACAAGAAAUGGAAAGAUUGGUUGCCUCAUUUCUACAGUCCCUGUAUGCUGGCCGAUGGAUGGCUCACUUGUCCAUUAAGAAACUUGAGGAUGAAUUAUCUAUUCACUAGAAAAUAAGAACAGAGGCUACCACAUUGUAGGCUAUUUUCAAUCAGGUAUGUUCAUUCAUAACAUGUAAUUCUUACUUUGUAUUUUCAGUACCAAUCCCUUUUUUCUUAUAUUAAUUCAAUUUUGUGCCUCAAAUGCAGGGCUACAAUGGGCAAAAGAUGCAAACCAAUAGCAUGGGAAGCAGCUCACUUGAUUUUUAGUUUGGAAUUUGAUGGGGAGGUGUAGCUUGCAGCACUUCCAUGGUACUCAACUCUGUAAUUGACAGUCUUUGAAUUGACUGUUUACAGACUCCUUUCACAUAUUAAGUACACCUUCCGGCUGACAGAUCACAUGUUUCAUUGGAAAGCCUUUUGGUUAUUGUAUUGAUCCACAUGAUAUGGCACUUCAUCAGAAGGGAUCUGUUAAAGACACCUAGGCCCAACCCCAAGAGGAUUAUCUUAUAUCCACCACCACAUUGCCAAAGGCUUAUCAAUUCCCAUGCCCUACAACCCAAGACUUCUUUAAUCGAUCAUGCACAUUCCCUUGUAAUUUCCGUGAUCCAAAUGGAGCCCGGAAUAAUCAGACGCGAAAUCAGUGGGGAGACUGAAAAUGCAGAACAACCUCAAACGAAAAUUGUCUAACGUCUCAAGCCUUCUUUUUUUCUAAUUUAUAUUAUUUUAAUUAUUUUUUUUUUUAUUUUUCAAAUAUAUUAUUUUAAUUAAUUUUAUUUAUUUUCAAAUUUAAAAUUUUUUUAUAAUAGAAAGGAGGGUUGUGGGUCUGAAUUUUUCCAAUACUUACCUUAUCUUGUCCUUAAAAAGAGAAGGUUGGAAAAAAUACAAAGGGUUUUUAGUGGUCUGAAAUUUUUUUUAAUACUUGGUACGGGUUGAGGGUGGUUCUAGUCUGAUCAUGUCUCAUCCUACCCUAUCACGAUUAUAUAUAAUAUUAAAUAAAAAUUUAUUUUAAUUUAUCUUUUUCAUAUUUCAAAAUUUUAAUAUUUAUAAAAUAUUAUUUUUAUUAAAAUAAAUUAUAGAUAUUUAUAACAUUUAUUAAUUUAUAAAUUUUAUUUAUUCUUAAUACAAUUUAAAAUUUUAUAAUUAAAAAAUGAAAAAGAAAAAUUCUUUUUACACAGGCAUUCCAUCUGCCCGGCAUACCAUGUGAUCCUUACUCAUCUUUCUAAAGAUACUACUUUUUUAUUUUUUAUUUUUAUUUUUUUCGCAUCUUUCUAUGCUGCCCGCAUACGUACGGUGAUUUCCAAAAAGGUCGUUUUCGCAAAAGUUUUUUGAAAAAGAUAUCGUACUUGUUCUUUUCUUUUUAAGUGAUUUCAAAUACGUUUGGUUCGAAGUGGAGGAGAAAAAUUUGGAAAAAAAAUAUGAGGAAAAAGUAAAAAAAAAUUAAAAUUUAAUAAAUUAUUUUUAUUUAUUAUUUUAAAUUCAUUUAUUUAUUUUAAAUAAUUGAUAUAAAAAAUUAAAUAACUUUAAAAUAUGUAAAAUUUUAAAUAGUUUUAAUUAUUUUUUUAUUUUUUUAUAGAACAACUAAAUAUGAUAAAAUAUUUUUUUAUAUAUAUAUAAUUUUUCUUUCCAUAAUAUUUCUCCGGAACCAAACAUAACAUUCAUUUUUAAAACCCAAACAAUGAAGGUAAUACAUUUUUAUUUUCACUUAGAUUAUCUUUGGUUCCCAAAUAAUUUUUUUUUUUUAAAGUUUUUUUAUAUUUGAUUUCGUUAAAAAUAAAUAUAUAAAAAAAUGAAAUAUAAUUAGAAUUAAUUAAAAUUUUAUAUAUUUUAAUUUAUUUAAUCUUUAUAUAAUAGAAGAAAAUAAGUGGAAUGAGUUUGAAAAAAUAUUUUAAAAAUCUAUUUUUUUUUCUUUCCUUCAAUAUUUUCUCUCUAUUUUCUUUUCCUUACAUUUUUCAUUAAUUUUUUUGAGAACCAAUUAUAGUUUUGGAAUUACAUUUAGGCUACAAUCUAAUUUCGCCCAUUGCAAGCCAAUAUUAAAAUCAAUGAAAAAAUAUGUUUGACCAAAAAUAGGCCGAUAGAGUGUAGUAACCUUUAUAUUUUGAUUUGAUGCAAUAGAGCAUACUGAUGAUUAUUCUUUGUGUGAUAAGCAUCUUUCUUUGAACAAAGCAUAUAUUUAAUUACAAUUGAAGAGAUAAUAAGGAAAAGUUAACAAAAAUAAAAAAUAAAAGAUGGUUCAAUAUGAUCCCCUAGAAGACAAGACAUUAUUGUUUUAAAAUCUAUGCUUCAGAUCUCAACAAACACGCACAUGCAUUAAGAAUCUUUUACUCCGAUUAUGUUAUUUAAGGUUUUCUCCACUUGCCAGCAGCCAUGAUCGUUGACCUCCAAAGAACAUCGAAGUUUUAUCUGGUAGUUCCUCAAAUCUUCAUUUGCUUCCAUCUCUGCUGUUCUGCCCUUUGCUUUAUUGAGAGAAACGAUGGAGGUUGUUGGAGAGGCCAUUCUUUCUUCUGCCCUUGAAUUGUUGUUUGAUAAGCUGGGAUCCUCCGAGUUGCUCAAGUUUGCUCGCCAAGAGAAUGUCAUUGGUGAACUUGACAACUGGAGGGACGAACUGUUGAUUAUUGAUGAGGUGCUGGACGAUGCGGAAGAGAAGCAGAUUACAAGAAAGUCCGUGAAAAAAUGGCUGAAUGAUCUCAGAGACUUGGCUUACGAUAUGGAGGACGUACUGGACGAGUUCACCACGGAGCUGUUGCGGCACAGGUUGAUGGCGGAACGUCAUCAGGCGGCUACCACAAGUAAGGUACGGAGCCUCAUCCCAACUUGCUUUACUGGUUUCAAUCCUGUAGGUGAUCUUCGGUUGAAUGUUGAGAUGGGGUCCAAGAUUAAGGAAAUCAGUAGACGGUUGGACAAUAUUUCAACUCGGCAAGCUAAACUGGGUUUGAAAAUGGAUCUUGGGGUUGGGCACGGCUGGGAAAGGUUUGCAUCUGGAAGAAGAGCUUCUACUUGGGAACGGCCGCCCACGACAUCUUUGAUGAAUGAAGCUGUUCAAGGUAGGGAUAAAGAAAGAAAGGAUAUUGUUGAUUUGCUGUUGAAGGAUGAAGCAGGGGAAAGCAACUUCGGUGUACUUCCCAUUGUUGGCAUUGGAGGGACCGGCAAGACUACGCUUGCCCAGCUCGUAUGCAAGGAUGAAGGCAUAAUGAAGCAUUUUGACCCCAUAGCCUGGGUUUGCAUAUCAGAAGAAUGUGAUGUGGUGAAGAUAUCAGAAGCAAUUCUCCGUGCACUCUCUCAUAAUCAGAGUACAGAUCUCAAGGACUUCAAUAAAGUUCAACAGACAUUGGAAGAGAUAUUGACUCGAAAGAAGUUUUUACUGGUUUUAGAUGACGUGUGGAACAUAAACCACGAUGAGCAAUGGAAUACUCUGCAGACGCCUUUUAAAUAUGGAGAAAAAGGGAGUAAGAUCAUAAUAACAACGCGUGAUGCAAAUGUGGCAAGAACGAUGAGAGCAUAUGAUUCACGCUACACUCUGCAGCCUUUGUCUGAUGAUGAUUGUUGGUCUUUGUUUGUGAAGCAUGCUUGUGAAACUGAAAAUAUCCAUGUACGCCAAAAUUUGGUACUACGUGAAAAAGUUACAAAAUGGUGCGGUGGUUUGCCCUUAGCAGCAAAGGUGCUUGGUGGCCUUUUACGCUCUAAACUACAUGAUCACUCAUGGGAAGAUCUAUUGAAGAAUGAAAUUUGGAGAUUACCAAGUGAGAAGCGUGACAUUCUCCAAGUAUUAAGAUUAAGUUACCAUCAUUUGCCUUCUCAUUUAAAGAGAUGUUUUGGUUACUGCGCAAUGUUUCCCAAGGAUUAUGAAUUUGAGAAGAAGGAACUAAUCUUGUUAUGGAUAGCUGAAGGCUUAAUUCACCAAUCAGAAGGAGGUAGGCAUCAAAUGGAAGAUUUAGGUGCUAAUUACUUUGAUGAAUUGUUGUCAAGGUCAUUUUUUCAAUCAUCUAGUAAUGACAAAUCAAGAUUCGUAAUGCAUGAUCUAAUUAAUGAUCUAGCUCAAGAUGUUGCACAAGAACUAUAUUUUAAUCUAGAGGACAAUGAGAAGGAGAAUGACAAGAUAUGCAUAGUUUCUGAAAGGACUCGUCAUUCAUCAUUCAUUCGUAGCAAGAGUGAUGUGUUUAAACGAUUUGAAGUAUUUAAUAAAAUGGAGCAUUUACGAACUCUUGUUGCAUUACCAAUCAGUAUGAAGGACAAGAAAUUCUUCUUAACUACUAAGGUUUUUGAUGACUUGUUGCCAAAGUUAAGACACUUGAGGGUGCUCUCCUUGAGUGGUUAUGAGAUAACUGAGUUACCAAAUUCGAUUGGUGAUUUGAAACUCUUGCGAUAUCUUAACUUGUCCUAUACUGCAGUCAAAUGGUUGCCUGAAUCAGUGAGUUGUCUCUACAAUCUACAAGCAUUGAUAUUAUCCGGUUGUAUAAAACUUAGUAGGUUGCCUAUGAACAUUGGGAAUUUGAUUAACCUUCGCCAUCUUAAUAUUCAAGGCUCAAUUCAACUAAAAGAGAUGCCUCCACGAGUGGGUGAUUUGAUAAAUUUACGAACAUUGUCAAAGUUUAUUGUGGGCAAACAGAAAAGGUCAGGAAUAAAAGAAUUGAAGAACUUGUUGAAUCUUAGAGGAAAUCUCUUCAUUUCAGAUUUGCACAAUAUUAUGAAUACGAGGGACGCAAAGGAAGUAGACUUGAAAGGGAGACAUGACAUUGAGCAGUUAAGGAUGAAAUGGAGCAACGAUUUUGGAGAUUCAAGAAAUGAAAGUAAUGAACUUGAGGUCUUCAAGUUCCUACAACCGCCUGACAGUUUGAAAAAGCUUGUUGUUUCUUGUUAUGGUGGACUAACUUUCCCAAAUUGGGUAAGAGAUCAUUCAUUCUCAAAAAUGGAGCACCUGAGUCUCAAAAGUUGCAAAAAAUGCGCGCAGUUGCCACCAAUUGGGAGACUACCUUUACUCAAGAAGUUGCACAUUGAAGGGAUGGAUGAAAUUGCAUGCAUAGGUGAUGAGUUCUAUGGGGAGGUUGAGAACCCUUUUCCAUCUUUGGAGUCUUUGGGGUUUGAUAAUAUGCCAAAAUGGAAAGACUGGAAGGAAAGGGAAUCAUCAUUUCCUUGCCUCGGAAAGCUUACAAUAAAAAAAUGUCCAGAACUGAUUAACUUGCCGAGUCAGUUGCUUUCCUUGGUGAAGAAGCUUCAUAUUGAUGAAUGCCAAAAAUUGGAAGUGAAUAAAUACAACAGAGGGUUGUUAGAAAGUUGUGUUGUUAAUGAGCCUUCACUCACAUGGUUGUACAUUGGGGGGAUUUCAAGGCCAAGUUGUUUAUGGGAAGGGUUUGCUCAAUCCUUAACAGCUCUUGAAACAUUGAAAAUAAAUCAAUGUGAUGAGUUGGCAUUUCUGGGACUGCAAAGCCUCGGUAGUCUUCAACAUUUAGAGAUCAGAAGUUGUGAUGGAGUUGUAUCCUUGGAAGAGCAAAAGCUGCCUGGCAAUCUUCAACGUUUGGAAGUGGAAGGGUGUUCCAACUUAGAGAAGCUGCCGAAUGCACUAGGAAGCCUCACAUUUCUCACAAAGUUGAUAAUUUCGAAUUGCUCCAAACUUGUGUCCUUCCCAGCCACGGGUUUCCCACCAGGGCUAAGAGAUCUUACGGUGACAGAUUGUAAGGGUCUCGAAUCACUGCCUGAUGGAAUGAUGAAUAACAGCUGUGCCCUUCAAUACUUGUACAUUGAAGGUUGUCCAUCUCUCCGCCGCUUUCCAGAAGGUGAGCUUUCCACCACCCUUAAGCUGCUGCGUAUCUUUAGAUGUGAAAGUCUGGAGUCUCUACCUGAGGGUAUAAUGCGCAACCCUUCAAUUGGCAGCAGCAACACUAGUGGCCUUGAAACAUUGGAGGUACGGGAAUGUUCAUCUCUCGAAUCCAUUCCAAGUGGUGAGUUUCCCUCCACCCUUACCGAACUUUGGAUUUGGAAAUGCAAGAACUUGGAGUCAAUUCCAGGCAAGAUGUUGCAAAAUCUCACCUCUCUUCAAUUGCUGGAUAUAUCUAAUUGUCCGGAAGUUGUGUCCUCUCCGGAAGCGUUUUUGAGCCCCAACCUUAAAUUUCUUGCGAUUUCAGAUUGCCAGAAUAUGAAGAGGCCUCUAUCUGAGUGGGGCCUUCACACACUCACCUCUCUUACACACUUCAUCAUUUGUGGCCCAUUUCCAGAUGUGAUUUCUUUUUCAGAUGAU